rnacentral:rRNA from 1 species
AAUGGGCGAAAGCCUGACGCAGCCACGCCGCGUGUGCGAUGAAGGUCUUCGGAUCGUAAAGCACUGUGGGGGGAGAAGAAACAAGUCGGUGAAGAGCCGGCCCUGACGGUAUCCCCUUAGCAAGCACCGGCUAACUCCGUGCCAGCAGCCGCGGUAAUACGGAGGGUGCAAACGUUGCUCGGAAUCAUUGGGCGUAAAGCGCACGUAGGCGGCCUAUCAAGUCGGAUGUGAAAGCCCUGGGCUCAACCCCAGAAGUGCAUCCGAAACUGAUAGGCUUGAAUGCCGGAGGGGCCCAGAGAAUUCCCGGUGUAGAGGUGAAAUUCGUAGAUAUCGGGAGGAAUACCAGUGGCGAAGGCGCUGGGCUGGACGGUCAUUGACGCUGAGGUGCGAAAGCGUGGGGAGCAAA